rnacentral:rRNA from 1 species
UACGUAGGUCCCGAGCGUUGUCCGGAUUUAUUGGGCGUAAAGCGAGCGCAGGUGGUUUAAUAAGUCUGAUGUAAAAGGCAGUGGCUCAACCAUUGUGUGCAUUGGAAACUGUUAGACUUGAGUGCAGUAGAGGAGAGUGGAAUUCCAGGUGUAGCGGUGAAAUGCGUAGAUAUAUGGAGGAACACCGGUGGCGAAAGCGGCUCUCUGGACUGUAACUGACACUGAGGCUCGAAAGCGUGGGUAGCAAACAGG